UUCGAAUCCCGCUGAGAAAAUUUUUGUCGACAUCAUCUUCCUGUUACUUACCUCUCCGUAUUUUUCUCUCCGCUAAAAACCUCUUCCCUCUUCUUUCUCGGUUUCAUUCUUCUCGAUUGAAACCUCUUCUUUGUUCUUGAUUUUUAUCAUCUUCAUCAAUUCCCCACACUAAUAUGAAAUGAUUGAAUUAAUUCUAGAUUGUUUCAUAUUUUUAUCAUCUUCUCACAACAACAAAUACCCCAGAAGUUCAAAUCAAAACCUAGAAUCCAAAGUUCUGAGAGAGUUUGAUAAAUGGGGUGAACUGAUUGAAUUAAAUUUACAGUCAAUUUGAAAAUCUCAAUUUGGGGUUAAGGCUUUCCGUUUCAGUUAGGGUUUCCGAAGAUUUUCUUUCCACUUCAAAGGGCCUGACGAUGCUCAUUGUCUUCUGCUAAAUCGUUGAAGCAAGAAACGAUGGUAAUGGAGGGUAAAAAGAGAUCUUCAGUUACACAAUCGUCGUAUUUCACAAAAGGCUAAAUAAUUGAGUGAAACGGAAAGAGAAGAGAUUCUUAAAAAACGACGUGAUGCUUAUUAUUUGCGGACAAUACGAGAUAGACAUGCGAAUAAAGAUGGGAAGGAAACAUCAACUUGUUCUGGUGAGUAAGGCAUGAAGCUUAUUUGUAUUCAGAUGGUUUUCUAUUUUCUGUUAUUAGGCCCAUUCUACAAAUCCAUUCCUUAUUACCCCACUUAUACAUACUUAUUGCAGACAUCUGCUUAAAGGUUUGUUGUGGAGAUGCCCUAGAAUGCUCUCUUUUGAAGCAUCAAUUACUUAUCAUUUCUUAUCAGUCAUGACAAACUUUACACAUCUUAAAAUCGUGCACUUCCCCAGCUUCUAGGGUCACAAUUGGAGAACGAUUUUAAUUGAUGGACUAGGUUAGCUAACCUGAGAGCUGGCGAUCUGACUAAUGGUCCCUGUCUCUUUCAAAAUACAGGCUUUAUAUUGGAGUGUCGAUAAGUUAAUGUCAUAUGCUGUCCUUCCCUCCAACCAGUUACUUUGUAUGAACUGAACUAAACCAGAUCAACCUUUUGUUGUUCUACACAUCCCCACCUCUGUAUGUAAUUUGCCACACAUUUCUAACACAAGUUUAUGCCAACUUGAUUUACUUUUUCUUUAAAAAUGAUGAUUUUCUUAUCAUUUCUUAUUAUCUUUUCUUAUGGAGUUUCAAUUUUCUUUUUUUAAUAAAAGAUUUGCAUUUUAGGCCCA